rnacentral:rRNA from 1 species
UUCCGGUUGAUCCUGCCGGAGGUUACUGCUAUCGAGGUUCGACUAAGCCAUGCGAGUCGAAUGUAGCAAUACAUGGCGUACUGCUCAGUAACACGUGGAUAACCUACCCUUGAGAUGGGAAUAAACCCGGGAAACUGGGUAUAAUACCCGAUAGAUCUCGACUGCUGGAAUGCAUCGAGAUCCAAAGCUCCGGCGCUCAAGGAUGGAUCUGCGGCCUAUCAGGUAGUAGUGGGUGUAGUGUACCUACUAGCCUACGACGGGUACGGGUUGUGAGAGCAAGAGCCCGGAGAUGGAUUCUGAGACACGAAUCCAGGCCCUACGGGGUGCAGCAGGCGCGAAAACUUUACAAUGCUGGAAACAGCGAUAAGGGGACCUCGAGUGCCAGGUUACAAAUCUGGCUGUCGUGAUGCCUAAAAAGCAUUGCAUAGCAAGGGCCGGGCAAGACCGGUGCCAGCCGCCGCGGUAACACCGGCGGCUCGAGUGGUAACCGUUAUUAUUGGGUCUAAAGGGUCUGUAGCCGGCCGGAUAAGUCUCUUGGGAAAUCUGGCAGCUUAACUGUCAGGCUUUCAGGAGAUACUGUCUGGCUCGAGGCCGGGAGAGGUGAGAGGUACUUCAGGGGUAGGGGUGAAAUCUUGUAAUCCUUGAAGGACCACCAGUGGCGAAGGCGUCUCACCAGAACGGACCUGACGGCAAGGGACGAAAGCUAGGGGCACGAACCGGAUUAGAUACCCGGGUAGUCCUAGCCGUAAACGAUACUCGCUAGGUGUCGGCAACGGUGCGACCGUUGUCGGUGCCGUAGGGAAGCCGUGAAGCGAGCCACCUGGGAAGUACGGCCGCAAGGCUGAAACUUAAAGGAAUUGGCGGGGAGCACACAACGGGUGGAGCUUGCGGUUAAUUGGAUUCA